GGUAGAAUGGCUGAGGUAAGCAGUGGAUUGUAGCUCCAUAGACGGAGGUUUAAGCCCUCCUUCUAUCA
rnacentral:tRNA from 1 species